GAGGGCCGUAGCUCAGUGGUACACUAAUGCAUUCUGCUUUGAAUGCAGGAAGGUCCCAGGUUCAAUGCCUGGUGUCUUCA